UUCAUUUUCUUGUUUUCAUUUUCUCAAAUCCCUCUUUCCUUCUAACCCUGAACCCAACCUCAGAGAUUGCUUGCAUUGAGCAGUCUCUCCCAUCGAACUCCCUCUUUCCGUCGAGCUCCCUCAGAUCAUUCUCCCUCUUUCUUUGUUUGCCUUUCUUUUUCUUCCUCACUCUCUUUCAACUAUCUCUCUUUCUCCCUCACUCUCUCACGUUCUCCUCCUAUCUCUCUUUCUAAUUCCCACGGUUUAUGUCUCCCUUCUUCCUGAGAAACUUAAAUCGAAGCUCAACCAGAGGGUUUCCACUCCAUUUGUCAUUAGUAUUCCUAAUUUUAGAAGGAUUCAAGGAAAUUUGAAGGUCUUUCUCAACAUUUGUGGAAUUUAAGCUAAAGGUGUUGAAAGGUUUUUUUCGUCGACGAACCUUCGCGGCUCCUCCCCAAAUCAACUGAGGAAUUGAUGUGGAAGACAUUGGUUUUCUAAACACAAAG